GAUGAAUAACGCAGCGAAAUGCGAUAAGUAAUGUGAAUUGCAGAAUUCAGUGAAUCAUCGAAUCUUUGAACGCACAUUGCGCCCGCCAGUAUUCUGGCGGGCAUGCCUGUUCGAGCGUCAUUACAACCCUCAGGCCCCCGGGCCUGGCGUUGGGGAUCGGCGGAAGCCCCCUGCGGGCACAACGCCGUCCCCCAAAUACAGUGGCGGUCCCGCCGCAGCUUCCAUUGCGUAGUAGCUAACACCUCGCAACUGGAGAGCGGCGCGGCCACGCCGUAAAACACCCAACUUCUGAAUGUUGACCUCGAAUCAGGUAGGAAUACCCGCUGAACUUAAGCAUAUCAAUAAGCGGAGGA
rnacentral:misc_RNA from 1 species